rnacentral:rRNA from 1 species
UACGAAGGGGGCUAGCGUUGCUCGGAAUCACUGGGCGUAAAGCGCACGUAGGCGGAUCUUUAAGUCAGGGGUGAAAUCCCAAGGCUCAACCUUGGAACUGCCUUUGAUACUGGGGAUCUCGAGUCCGGAAGAGGUGAGUGGAGCUGCGAGUGUAGAGGUGAAAUUCGUAGAUAUUCGCAAGAACACCAGUGGCGAAGGCGGCUCACUGGUCCGGUACUGACGCUGAGGUGCGAAAGCGUGGGGAGCAAACAGG